rnacentral:rRNA from 1 species
GAUCCUGGCUCAGAUUGAACGCUGGCGCAUGCUUUACACAUGCAAGUCGAACGGUAACAGGUUAAGCUGACGAGUGGCGAACGGGUGAGUAAUGCAUCGGAACGUGCCCGAUCGUGGGGGAUAACGCAGCGAAAGCUGCGCUAAUACCGCAUACGAUCUGAGGAUGAAAGCGGGGGACCGUAAGGCCUCGCGCGAUCGGAGCGGCCGAUGUCAGAUUAGGUAGUUGGUGGGGUAAAGGCUCGACCAAGCCGACGAUCUGUAGCUGGUCUGAGAGGACGACCAGCCACACUGGGACUGAGACACGGCCCAGACUCCUACGGGAGGCAGCAGUGGGGAAUUUUGGACAAUGGGCGCAAGCCUGAUCCAGCAAUGCCGCGUGCAGGAAGAAGGCCUUCGGGUUGUAAACUGCUUUUGUACGGAGCGAAAAGGCCCUCUCUAAUACAGGGGGUUCAUGACGGUACCGUAAGAAUAAGCACCGGCUAACUACGUG